rnacentral:rRNA from 1 species
AUGAACGCUAGCUACAGGCUUAACACAUGCAAGUCGAGGGGAAACGACAUCGAAAGCUUGCUUUUGAUGGGCGUCGACCGGCGCACGGGUGAGUAACGCGUAUCCAACCUGCCCACCACUUGGGGAUAACCUUGCGAAAGUAAGACUAAUACCCAAUGAUAUCUCUAGAAGACAUCUGAAAGAGAUUAAAGAUUUAUCGGUGAUGGAUGGGGAUGCGUCUGAUUAGCUUGUUGGCGGGGUAACGGCCCACCAAGGCGACGAUCAGUAGGGGUUCUGAGAGGAAGGUCCCCCACAUUGGAACUGAGACACGGUCCAAACUCCUACGGGAGGCAGCAGUGAGGAAUAUUGGUCAAUGGGCGAGAGCCUGAACCAGCCAAGUAGCGUGCAGGAUGACGGCCCUAUGGGUUGUAAACUGCUUUUAUAAGGGAAUAAAGUGAGCCUCGUGAGGCUUUUUGCAUGUACCUUAUGAAUAAGGACCGGCUAAUUCCGUGCCAGCAGCCGCGGUAAUACGGAAGGUCCGGGCGUUAUCCGGAUUUAUUGGGUUUAAAGGGAGCGUAGGCCGGAGAUUAAGCGUGUUGUGAAAUGUAGAUGCUCAACGUCUGCACUGCAGCGCGAACUGGUUUCCUUGAGUACGCACAAAGUGGGCGGAAUUCGUGGUGUAGCGGUGAAAUGCUUAGAUAUCACGAAGAACUCCGAUUGCGAAGGCAGCUCACUGGAGCGCAACUGACGCUGAAGCUCGAAAGUGCGGGUAUCGAACAGGAUUAGAUACCCUGGUAGUCCGCACGGUAAACGAUGGAUGCCCGCUGUUGGUCUGAAUAGGUCAGCGGCCAAGCGAAAGCAUUAAGCAUCCCACCUGGGGAGUACGCCGGCAACGGUGAAACUCAAAGGAAUUGACGGGGGCCCGCACAAGCGGAGGAACAUGUGGUUUAAUUCGAUGAUACGCGAGGAACCUUACCCGGGCUCGAACGGCACCUGGAUCACCCAGAGAUGGGUGAGUCUUCGGACAGGUGUCGAGGUGCUGCAUGGUUGUCGUCAGCUCGUGCCGUGAGGUGUCGGCUUAAGUGCCAUAACGAGCGCAACCCCUCUCCUUAGUUGCCAUCAGGUGAAGCUGGGCACUCUGGGGACACUGCCACCGUAAGGUGUGAGGAAGGUGGGGAUGACGUCAAAUCAGCACGGCCCUUACGUCCGGGGCUACACACGUGUUACAAUGGCAGGUACAGAGAGACGGUUGUACGCAAGUACGAUCAAAUCCUUAAAGCCUGUCUCAGUUCGGACUGGGGUCUGCAACCCGACCCCACGAAGCUGGAUUCGCUAGUAAUCGCGCAUCAGCCAUGGCGCGGUGAAUACGUUCCCGGGCCUUGUACACACCGCCCGUCAAGCCAUGAAAGCCGGGGGCGCCUAAAGUCCGUGACCGUAAGGAGCGGCCUAGGGCGAAACUGGUAAUUGGGGCU